UACGUAGGGGGCUAGCGUUGUCCGGAAUCAUUGGGCGUAAAGCGCGUGUAGGCGGUCCGGUAAGUCCGCUGUGAAAGUCGGGGGCUCAACCCUCGAAAGCCGGUGGAUACUGUCGGGCUAGAGUACGGAAGAGGCGAGUGGAAUUCCUGGUGUAGCGGUGAAAUGCGCAGAUAUCAGGAGGAACACCAAUUGCGAAGGCAGCUCGCUGGGACGUUACUGACGCUGAGACGCGAAAGCGUGGGGAGCAAACAGG
rnacentral:rRNA from 1 species